rnacentral:rRNA from 1 species
GACGAACGCUGGCGGCGUGCUUAACACAUGCAAGUCGAACGGAAAGGCCCUGCUUUUGUGGGGUGCUCGAGUGGCGAACGGGUGAGUAACACGUGAGUAACCUGCCCUUGACUUUGGGAUAACAUCAGGAAACUGGGGCUAAUACCGGAUAGGAGCUCCUGCUGCAUGGUGGGGGUUGGAAAGUGUCGGCGUUUGGGGAUGGACUCGCGGCUUAUCAGCUUGUUGGUGGGGUAGUGGCUUACCAAGGCUUUGACGGGUAGCCGGCCUGAGAGGGUUAACGGCCACAUUGGGACUGAGAGACGGCCCAGACUCCUACGGGAGGCAGCAGUGGGGAAUAUUGCACAAUGGGCGGAAGCCUGAUGCAGCAACGCCGCGUGCGGGAUGACGGCCUUCGGGUUGUAAACCGCUUUCGCCUGUGACGAAGCGUGAGUGACGGUAAUGGGUAAAGAAGCACCGGCUAACUACGUG